CCUACGGGAGGCAGCAGUAAGGAAUCUUCCACAAUGGACGAAAGUCUGAUGGAGCAACGCCGCGUGCAGGAUGAAGGCUUUCGGGUCGUAAACUGCUUUUAUAUGGGAAGAUUAUGACGGUACCAUAUGAAUAAGGACCGGCUAACUACGUGCCAGCAGCCGCGGUAAUACGUAGGGUCCAAGCGAUAUCCGGAAUUACUGGGCGUAAAGCGUGCGUAGGUGGAUUAAUAAGUGUGAUGCGAAAUCCGGCGGCUCAACCGUUUGGACUGUGUCGCAUACUGUUAGUCUAGAGGACGGCAGAGGUAAGUGGAAUUACGGGUGUAGCAGUGAAAUGCGUAGAUAUCCGUAGGAACACCAAUGGCGAAGGCAGCUUACUGGGCCACACCUGACACUGAGACACGAAAGCGUGGGGAGCGAACAGGAUUAGAUACCCUGGUAGUCCACGCCGUAAACGAUGCAUACUAUUAGUAUGGGGUAUCGACCCCCUGUGCUGAGAAGCUAACGCGAUAAGUAUGCCGCCUGGGGAGUACGAGCGCAAGCUUAAAACUCAAAGGAAUUGACGGNGUGAGAGNGCGACGACGACGACGAGGGAGAGG
rnacentral:rRNA from 1 species